GUUUGGUUUACUUUUCGCAUCGGCCUGUGUCAAUCGAGGUUGAGUUUAGUGAGGGUUGAAAGUUUUCGAUCUAGAUUGCAGAUCACUAUUGUCACUUUAUACAAACUGAAAGUAUGCGUUGUUGCGUGUUUGUUUUUGUGGGCUUUUGACUGAACAGCCCAGACAAAUAUUGCUACCAACAUGGCACUUCGAAACAGACCACCGCAGCGUUAGAUGACUGACAAGAUCUAUGGGGGGGCCCCCUUUGGGCCCCCCCAUACCAACUUAGUCUUCAAAGGAAUCUAGUGCCAUGGGACUCCAGUGUCUUCAAAACAUCCUCGGAAUACAUGUGUAUGAAUGGUCCACCGAAGGGUUGAUCUGGAAGCCACCACGGUCCACGCAGUAAUCUGCUGCGUGGGCCGUAGUGGCUUCCAGAGCCAUCUUUCGGUCUUGGUCAGGAUUUGUUACAGUUGCCCUUCAAUGUAGCAGGCUAUGGGUUUCUGAAGAAGCCUGCUUUACGUAGCAUUGGAGUACAAAUAUUGUGCAAAAUGCUCAUGUAAUUGAACUAGCACUAGUAACCUGUAGAUUAGCUUAGUUUAACGUCAUUCCGUGCUGUCUGUCAAAUGUGUGGCUUACUUUAAGUCCACAAGGCCCUCUGGUAAACCACGUUGGAACACCCCUGGACAAGAUGAUUAGUCACUGGGUGUGUGCUAAAGUUUUGUUCCAUUUUUCACUAGUUGGUUAAGGUUUGGUAGAAUUGUUUGGAUGCUAGCGACGUGAUGGCGUAUGUACAAGAGCCUACCGUGGCCAGGCCACAGUUGCGACGGCCACGGCCAGAUGGCCUAGUGUGAGUGCGACCUUGAUUGCAUUUGUAUACGGUUUACCAUUGGAUGUUUAUGCAAUUUGGCUUAAUUCAUCCGCAGUAAAGCUGCAUUUGACUAUUCCAGGGUCGUUUUGUACAGGCUUUCAAUUGACCAUGUUGACUAGUUUGUGGGAAGUUUUUUUUUUUUUUUUCCUUGCUUUCAAUUCUACGGUUGUGACCACUUAUGCAACUGGGCUGUGAACCUUGCAAUUCUAGUUGCAUAUUUGUACACGCAAGCUUGUCCAUUUCUAUCGCCAUCACUAACACUAGCUUCAGCAUUUCCUUGUAGGCCAUUAGCUGACUUGUGUAUUGGAGCGAUGAUUUGGGUAUUUUAAGAUGCUUGAAAACCUAAAAUAAAGCAAAAUGCAUGUCUGGUGUGCAAGAGCCAAUUUGUUGGCUUGCAGUAGUCGAGGAGUUGCCGUAGGUCGUAAGCCAUCUGGAGGUUGUGGCAAUGGAGGCUUGUGGUAGAUCUGCCAUCCAAGAAAGGUUAAUUCUUCUGAAGCAUGAUUAAUAGUUUAGUAAAUUGAAUCUAUUCAUAUAGAACUAUAAAAUCCAAGACUGCAGCCAGUAACUUGGAUCGCAAUAUGUGGAAAGUAUUAGUCUUCAUUUGUAACAACAGAAUAAUUAACAUGACUAACUGGGUUUCUUCCAUUUUCUAACUAGGGGGACUUGACUGGUGAGUCUACUGGAUUAAUCAGUAGCGGUACUUUGCCCAACAGAUUUGAUGGCAUGACUACAGGGUGACAAAGACAAUUAUUCCCUGCCUAUCAAAAGAGACUUCUAAAACAUAUCUGCUAGAACAGUUCCUAUACUUUUUGUAUAAUUUGGUCAUGCUGCAAAUUUAUUUUUUUGUAGUUGCUCCAUAUUUAGUUCUUUGACAGCCUUACCUGCUAGAAAAGUCUAUUCAAAUCAGCUAAAUAUAAUGAACUAAAUUAAUAGCCAUGAAAUGUUGUCACUCAUACUAAUGGCAAAUACCCUCUUUCAGUUGGUGGUUCAACACUGAUGUCUCUCUAGGCUUGAGGGAGAGCUCACAAGUAAAUUACACGAAUGUCCUGGUUAAUACAAUAAACAAGACAUUUCAUGGUACCAUUUUUGAACUGUUUGUGGAUAGUGCAUUAAAUCCAUAUGCUUGAAACUUUUCAAUAAUGCAUAUCAACGAAACAAUGGAAUGAAAUAAAUAGUUCAAGCAAUUUGUGGGACUUGGCUGCUUUUACAUUAUUACUCAUUUUGGGGGUUAUUUCAGUCUCUCCAACCUGCAGGUCAUGCGAAGAAUCAUGUGAAUGGG
ensembl:lncRNA